rnacentral:rRNA from 1 species
AUUGAACGCUGGCGGCAGGCCUAACACAUGCAAGUCGAACGAGUGGCGGACGGGUGAGUCUGUCUGGGAAACUGCCUGAUUGAGGGGGAUAACUACUGGAAACGGUAGCUAAUACCGCAUACCAUCGGAUGUGCCCCGAUGGGUUUAGCUAGUAGGUGGGGUAACGGCUCACCUGGGAGACGAUCCCUAACUAGUCUGCGAGGAUGACCAGCCACACGGGAACUGAGACACGGUCCAGACUCCUACGUGAGGCAGCAGUGGGGAAGAUUGCACAAUGGGCGCAAGCCUGAUGCAGCCAUGCCGCGUGUAUGAAGAAGGCCUUCGGGUUGUAAAGUACUUUCAUCGGGGAGGCGGUACCCGCAGAAGAAGCACCGGCUAACUCCGUGCCAGCAGCCGCGGUAAUUC